UGAUAUAUCAAUUACAGAUUUGUGUAUAUAUAAUUUUUUUUUCAGUUGGAAUAACUUUUGGGAAUUUUCUUACAGUAAUGUAUUAUUAAUAGAGACUUCUAGUGCAAGAACUUUCAAAUUUCCUCAAAUUCUUAUGUUCUUCGAUAUAUUAAUUAAAUCACGUAGAUUUUUGUUUUCCUUUUUCUUAAUUAUUAGUUGGGCAUUUAGACUGAUCUUGAAGUGGAAUUAGAAGAUAUAUUUACUUCAGUUUUUCUCUUUAGGUACUUGAUCCUUGUCAUGUAAUUUCUGCUACUUGGAAAUAUUUUGUAUUACUCUAAUUUUGUAUAUUUUCCUGCUACUUGAUUUUUUAUUUUCGUUUAACUUCUUUAUGAUAUUCCACCUUUGCAGUUAAUUUUCGCUAGCCAGCCGUUUGUUACAUUAAUCUAAUUUACUCAAUUGCCAUGCUGCAUCAUAUUUUGUGUAAUCUUUAGCCUAUUUAUGGUUUUUAACCUAUGUUGGUUGAAUUAUUUAAUUUUAGCGCCACACUCGUGUUGGACAUGACCUGGCAUUGGUGUGGUUGUGGGAUGUCUGUCCUACACGUACUGUGCAUGUCAUUCCCUAGAUGAUCAAGAACCAAAGGUUUAUGAUAUAUAAAGACAAUAAUCAAGACUCUUAGAUUGUAAGUUGAAAAGAACAAAAAUGCAUUUUCAUGAAUGUAUAGAUCUUGAACAUUUUUAUAUUAUAAAUAGUUAAUCAAUUAUAAAUUACUAAUUCCUUGAAGGAAAUUUAUCAAUUACUAGUUAGUUUUUUUCCCCUUUCACCACAAAUGUCAGUUUGCUAUCUUUUUGGCUAAGAAGUCAUUAAGUAUAUGACAUUGUCAUAGCUUUGUAAAAGUAUAUUUUUAUUAUUUUUCAUAUCAAAUGAAUACCAGUACCAUAGUCCAAUUUAUGAACUCUUACUGACUGAGUUCUCAUGUCUUGACAAAAAUUAUCGAGUUAGACACUUAGAUCCAUCCACACCCCAUAAAGGUACAAGUCUGAGCAACACAGAAUUUAACCUUUGCGAUUUAACUUGUGGUAUUUGGCAGCCUAUGAAGUUAUUCUAAUUUAGUAAUUUCCCUUCUAGGCACUUUAUAUUUAUCUAUAUUGAGACUGGUUUAGUUCAUUCAGUUUGAAUUUGCUAUAAAUUUUUUUCUAACAAUUUGUUUCUUUCAGGAACAUAAAAAGAAAUUGAAUUUUUCAUUUUUGUUUUCAUGUAACUUUUUUAAGUGCAAGUUUGUGCUAUUACUAACAACUAGAAGUUCGUAUAGGUGUUUUCUCUAAAAAAAUAGUUAAGUUAAUAUAUGUGUUGUUAUUCAUGAGAAGUAGAGGUCAAAGGAGAUUGUCUAGGGAUGAGAAUUGGGUCCUCCUUCCUCUAUCUGCUUGAAGCCUGAACAACAAGUGGCAUCUAGCUGGACUUUGGAAUUUUGAAAAAUCAUCGUCAUAUAACUUUUGUCAGUGAAAGGCCAUCUGCGAAUGGUGCCAUGUAUCAAGCUUCGUGCUGUUAGUUGCACUGAAUAGUUGCUUUAAUUUUUAGAUCACAUUAUGUGCAUUAUUUUGUAGUUUAUUAUUUUUUUUUGGUCGCAAUCCUUCUAUAUCAAUUAAUAACUUUGCUUUUUAAGUUUUGCUAACUAUUCCAUGGGUUUGAGCNN
rnacentral:lncRNA from 1 species